rnacentral:rRNA from 1 species
UACAGAGGAGCCAAGCGUUGUCCGGAUUGACUGGGCGUAAAGCGCACGCAGGCGGGGGUGCGCGUGGGGUGUGAAAUCUGGCCGCUUAACGGCCAGGCGCCAUCCCAUACGGCACGCCUGGAGCCUUGCAGAGGUCGGUGGAAUUCCCGGUGUAGCGGUGGAAUGCGUAGAGAUCGGGAAGAACAUCAGUGGCGAAGGCGGUCUGCUGGGCCGUUGCUGACGCUGAGGCGCGACAGCGUGGGGAGCAAACAGG